GAAAUGCGAUAAGUAAUGUGAAUUGCAGAAUUCCGUGAAUCAUCGAAUCUUUGAACGCACAUUGCGCCCUCUGGUAUUCCGGGGGGCAUGCCUGUCCGAGCGUCAUUGCACACCCUCAAGCGCGGCUUGUGUGUUGGGCCCCCGCGUCAUUGCCUCCUGAAAGGACGGGCCCGAAAGGCAGUGGCGGGCUCGCUGUCACACCGAGCGUAGUAGCAUACAUUCUCGCUCAGGGCGUGCUGCGGGUUCCGGCCGUUAAACGACCUUCAUAACCCAAGGUUGACCUCGGAUCAGGUAGGAAGACCCGCUGAACUUAAGC
rnacentral:misc_RNA from 1 species